CUUCCAUCUGUGCCUGUCAAUCAAAUACAGAGUGCAUGGUGUUUGUAACACUGUCUCUGCUAGCUGCAGAACAGAACUCAUUAUCCAUACAGCCACAUAAACCUUCACUUCAUUGGCGGGAAACAACAGCUAAGGGGUCAAAUCAGCUUCAUCAAAGAUCCGACUAAAACAUCAACCUACAGGGGCUAAAAAUGUCUUAUGAACGGAUUCUCUCUAUCGAGAAUCUGAGUGACGUCCCAAAUCCAUGGAAGGGAUUCACUAUGAACCGCUGUAUAGUGCUGGCACUGGUGGUGCUGCUUGUGAGCUCAGGGGUCAGUGAGCUGCAUGAUGCUAUGGAUUCUUUUGUUGAGGAGACAGGUAUAAGGUCUUUCAUUGGAAGUCUGCAGGAUGGAUCAAUAACUCAGAUUUCCAUUUGGGACAGUUUCAUGUGGUGGUGGGGAUCUGAAGAAGUAGGAGUGAUAAGAAGAAGAAAAAAGCCCAUGAGCAACAAAGUCAUUCUGAAACCCAAAAUGAGAGACUGAUGUGUAUACAGCUGCAUGAAGAAAAAUGAUGGUGGAAAACAGCAACAGGUUUCUGUGAGGAACACAAAGAAUGAGGAUAAUGUGUACAUUCAACCUAAGACAAAGACCUCUCAUGGAACAAUUUUGUGUCAAUAAAUGAUAAGCUCUUGUCGUGACAAUGUGCUUUGUUCGUCUACUGUGUAAUAAAAAACAAUGUUUCAGUGUGAAAGUACAUAACUUAAAGCAACCUCUGUGAAUAAAUGUGUGCACUGACUACAAAGCAAACCCUGUGACUAAAUAAAUUACAUCUGAGCAAUAA